CUUCUCUCUCCUCAAACCCUAAAAAUGUUUGGUAUUCCUCAUCUCAUAGGCUUCUCAAUGAACCGGUUGGAUUUCUGUUUCAAGCAAUCUUGGCGUCGACCACCGCCUCUCCUUCUCCGACAACUGAUGUAUGAAAAUGGUUUGCGGUGAAGUUUGGAACUAAGCAUAGAUUGAAGUGUGAACUGGAUUGAGGAAAGUAACUCCUACAACUAGGAAGAUGGUGUGUUUGUUUCAUAUUGAAGGUGAAUUCUGGUUUUUGGUGUCACAAUGCAUUUCGCUCCAAACCAAACUUAGGACUCUCAUUAGAACCGUAUUUCUACAAAUGCUUUCAAGUAAGAAUUAUAAACUGUAUAAAAGUUGAAUUGAUCAAAAUUGUGG